rnacentral:rRNA from 1 species
AUUGAACGCUGGCGGCAGGCCUAACACAUGCAAGUCGAGCGGGGUUUUCGGACCUAGCGGCGGACGGGUGAGUAAUGCGUAGGAAGCUGCCCGAUAGAGGGGGAUACCAGUUGGAAACGACUGUUAAUACCGCAUAAUGUCUACGGACCAAAGUGUGGGACCUUCGGGCCACAUGCUAUCGGAUGCGCCUACGUGGGAUUAGCUAGUUGGUGAGGUAAUGGCUCACCAAGGCGACGAUCUCUAGCUGGUUUGAGAGGAUGAUCAGCCACACUGGAACUGAGACACGGUCCAGACUCCUACGGGAGGCGGCAGUGGGGAAUAUUGGACAAUGGGCGCAAGCCUGAUCCAGCCAUGCCGCGUGUGUGAAGAAGGCCUUCGAGUUGUAAAGCACUUUCAGCGAGGAGGAAGGGGUUGUAGUUAAUAGCUGCAACCUUUGACGUUACUCGCAGAAGAAGCACCGGCUAACUCUGUGCCAGCCGCCGCGGUAA